rnacentral:snoRNA from 7 species
UUUGAUGUGACGAUCCUUUCCCCAAAUUACCGACUUUGAUUAUACUGUGCGAUUUUUCGAGUUCUGUCUCCUCGGAGAUGGCUCUUAAGCCAGAUAUUCUGAUCGAA